UUGAAAACAGAAUGUGAACUACUGUCCAGAAGCCCUCUGUGAACUUCAGGUCUGCCUUAGGAGGGACGCUUCCAGCGAGGGAGCGCGUGAUGAAGUCUGCAGGCAUUGCUGGGGCAACGCUAAGUGGCCGCUGGCCAGGGUAGAAGUUAAACCAGGAGAUGGCUGUCAAAUGCAGUUGUUAGGUGUGGCACAUCUUUCUCAAGCUGCUGAGCUGAGCAGGAAAGAGAGACGUUUGUUUAUGGAUUUAUCUCAUCUAUAAGACACUCUUAUUAGAUGAACUCUAUAUCAGUUCUAUGUAGAACUCUGUACCAGUUCUAUAAGGCACUCUUUAAUCUGAAUCUUUUUAUUUGCUCAAGAGAAAAAUAAGUCUGACUUGCAUCCCAUUGAAGAUUUAGAUUGCACUGUUUACAUCUUUCACCUGCGCCGCGGUAGCGUCCUCUACCGAUGCUAUCCUACGUUGAUUUUUCCAGCAACCUGGGAAGCAACCUCAUAGGUGGUUUGGGAUGUCUUUUGGCUGUGCUUAAAAAUUUCCAACAGAUUUGCUACACAUCUUAGGAUAAAUAUGUUUCCUGUGAAUUGUGAUGAUUUCUUACAGUACAUUUGCAAGCAUGUGUAUGCAUCUGCAGGAAACAUAGCCUGGCUCUGUGAAGGAAUACUGCUGUGACCGCAAAACUGUUUCUGUAGAAUUUUCUCCGGUGUGGUCAUCCUGCCUUCAGAGGUUUCUCCAGGACGUCACCUGUAUGAGGUACACAGUGUGAUGACACACUCUGUGCUUUUCCUACUUGUGUCCACGGGCUCAAGCCUGGAAGAAGCCUUAGGACGUGGGGGAAAUGUCUAACGUGGAGUCCACCUGCUGAGCAGGACCGGGUGUGAAGGAAGAAGCUUUGUUCUGAUUCCUCAUGGCCCAGCCACCCCUCGCCUGAGCUGAGCCUGGCCACAGGGCCCGCCUGCAGGAAGGGCUGGCCCAUGGCUUCACACUGGGCUCAGGCUGCGCUAAGAGCCCCGGGUGAGGACCUCCAAGCCCAGGAAGCCUCAGUUGGCCAAAGUGCUAGAUGCGUGUGGUCUGCUUUCAUCCCCGCUUCCCUCAGAGCUUGCAUUUUCCAAAUUCAAGAGAGGCUCCACCUUCAAGAAGACCGGCCUGUCCCUGUUAUUUAUGUGUCCCCCUACCAUAUCUCCCUUUGUUCUGCAGAGCGGUACGCAUAAAAAGCUUUUGGGGA
rnacentral:lncRNA from 1 species